UACGUAGAAGACUAGUGUUAUUCAUCUUUAAUAGGUUUAAAGGGUACCUAGACGGUAUAAUUAGUCUUAAACAGGAUACGAUUAUACUAGAGUUAUAUAUGAGGAGGUGAGUAUUUAUGCAGUAGAGUUGAAAUUCGUUGAUAGCAUAACGACUGGUAACGGCGAAAGCAACCUUUUAUCUAAUAACUGACGUUGAGGGACGAAGGCUCGGGUGAACGAACAGG
rnacentral:rRNA from 1 species